rnacentral:rRNA from 2 species
GAUGAACGCUGGCGGCGCGCCUAACACAUGCAAGUCGAACGGUUAAAGCACCUUUUAGGUGUGUAUAAAGUGGCGAACGGCUGAGUAACACGUGGGCAACCUGCCCUCCUCUUGGGGAUAGCCUCGGGAAACCGAGGAUAAUACCCGAUACUUCAAUGUGGCCGCAUGACGACAUUGAGAAAGCUUUUGCGGAGAAGGAUGGGCCCGCGGCCUGUUAGCUUGUUGGUGGGGUAGAGGCCUACCAAGGCAAUGAUGGGUAGCUGGGUUGAGAGACCGACCAGCCAGAUUGGGACUGAGACACGGCCCAGACUCCUACGGGAGGCAGCAGUGGGGAAUCUUGCACAAUGGGCGAAAGCCUGAUGCAGCGACGCCGCGUGCGGGACGAAGGCCUUCGGGUUGUAAACCGCUUUCAGCAGGGACGAGGCGAAAGUGACGGUACCUGCA